GAUCCAGAGACAAUGGCCCCGAUGGGAUGGAGCCCGAAGGCGUCAUCGAGAGUAACUGGAAUGAGAUUGUUGACAGCUUUGAUGACAUGAACCUCUCGGAGUCCCUUCUCCGUGGUAUCUACGCCUAUGGUUUUGAGAAGCCCUCUGCCAUCCAGCAGCGAGCCAUUCUACCUUGUAUCAAGGGUUAUGAUGUGAUUGCUCAAGCCCAAUCUGGGACUGGGAAAACGGCCACAUUUGCCAUAUCGAUUCUGCAGCAGAUUGAAUUAGAUCUAAAAGCCACCCAGGCCUUGGUCCUAGCACCCACUCGAGAAUUGGCUCAGCAGAUACAGAAGGUGGUCAUGGCAUUAGGAGACUACAUGGGCGCCUCCUGUCACGCCUGUAUCGGGGGCACCAACGUGCGUGCUGAGGUGCAGAAACUGCAGAUGGAAGCUCCCCACAUCAUCGUGGGUACCCCUGGCCGUGUGUUUGAUAUGCUUAACCGGAGAUACCUGUCCCCCAAGUACAUCAAGAUGUUUGUACUGGAUGAAGCUGACGAAAUGUUAAGCCGUGGAUUCAAGGACCAGAUCUAUGACAUAUUCCAAAAGCUCAACAGCAACACCCAGGUAGUUUUGCUGUCAGCCACAAUGCCUUCUGAUGUGCUUGAGGUGACCAAGAAGUUCAUGAGGGACCCCAUUCGGAUUCUUGUCAAGAAGGAAGAGUUGACCCUGGAGGGUAUCCGCCAGUUCUACAUCAACGUGGAACGAGAGGAGUGGAAGCUGGACACACUAUGUGACUUGUAUGAAACCCUGACCAUCACCCAGGCAGUCAUCUUCAUCAACACCCGGAGGAAGGUGGACUGGCUCACCGAGAAGAUGCAUGCUCGAGAUUUCACUGUAUCCGCCAUGCAUGGAGAUAUGGACCAAAAGGAACGAGACGUGAUCAUGAGGGAGUUUCGUUCUGGCUCUAGCAGAGUUUUGAUUACCACUGACCUGCUGGUGAGUUGAGGGAACUGAUAGGAAAGGCAGAAGGGAGGAUCCAAGGUGAUUCCCUCUCCAAGGGGACAUCAGUGCCUCUCAGGAAAGUAGCAGCUUGGAAUAGAAUCUGGCAUGCCUAAGGCCUUUGGGGAACUGGGAUGCUUAUUUCCUCUGCCUUCCUUGGCUGCCCACAUGGAUGCCUAAGUGUCUUCCCUCCGGGAUAGAGUGUCCUCCGUGCACAUGCUGAAGAGUUGUCUUUCUUGACGUAGGCCAGAGGCAUUGAUGUGCAGCAGGUUUCUUUAGUCAUCAACUAUGACCUUCCCACCAACAGGGAAAACUAUAUCCACAGAAUCGGUCGAGGUGGACGGUUCGGCCGUAAAGGUGUGGCUAUUAACAUGGUGACAGAAGAAGACAAGAGGACUCUUCGAGACAUUGAGACCUUUUACAACACCUCCAUUGAGGAAAUGCCCCUCAAUGUUGCUGACCUCAUCUGAGGGGCUGUCCUGCCACCCAGCCCCAGCCAGGGCUCAAUCUCUGGGGGCUGAGGAGCAGCAGGAGGGGGGAGGGAAGGGAGCCAAGGGAUGGACAUCUUGUCAUUUUUUUCUUUGAAUAAAUGUCACUUU
rnacentral:sRNA from 1 species